AUUUCGAGGCCAAUUAAGCAAAGUUUACCCCUCAGGGUACUAUAUAUUUGUCACAUCAAACAACUACUGAUGUUGCCCAGGACACGAUAAUGUUAUAUUUUUGCGAAUAUACACAGAAGGCGUUCAAAAGAAUUACACAAAUGUAACAGAAAGGAAUAAUCCUCGAUGUCUUCGACUUAGUUUAUUUACCGAUUCGUGUUCAUAAAUGGUUUCCCUCAUAUAUUAGAUCUUACUGCAACCCCUCAGUUUCUGGCAUUUUCGUAAACACCCUGUACAUUCAGGGGCCACAACUGUGUCAAGAAGCACAGACAAAUUAAUGAAAGUAAUGGUGAAAGAAAUUAUCCUUAUAAUUAGGGUACCAAAUACCCACUUUGCCAACAUAAUUCUUCAAAAACAAUUGAGUAAAGAUGUCCUCUGGUCUUUCUUAGGCAGUGAGUCAAUCAACUUUGAUUUUUGAUUGGGAACCUUACACAUACAAGGUGUUAAAAAAAAGUGCCAGUAAUUCAAAGGGAGUUUAGUAAGAACUACGAUAUGAGGAAAAUUAUUAAUGAGCAUGGCUCAGUAAAUAAACCAUUUCGAAGACUCGAGGAUUCAUCCUUUGUGUCAAUUUUUGUCAUUCGUCUUGGACGUAUUCUGUGUUUAUUCGUAAAUAUAUAUCAUUGUAUUGUAUCUUCGGCGAAAAAUCUUCAUUUCGAAGUCAAUUCAGAAAAGUUUACCCCUUUGGGUACUGUAUAUUUGCCACAUCAAACCACCGGUGUUGCCCAGGACACGAUAAUGUUAUAUUUUUGCGAAUAUACACAGAAGGCGUUCAAAAGAAUUACACAAAUGUAACAGAAAGGAAUAAUCCUCGAUGUCUUCGACUUAGUUUAUUUACCGAUUCGUGUUCAUAAAUGGUUUCCCUCAUAUAUUAGAUCUUACUGCAACCCCUCAGUUGCUGACAUUUUCGUAAACACCCUGUACAUUCAGGGGCCACAACUGUGUCAAGAAGCACAGACAAAUUAAUGAAAGUAAUGGUGAAAGAAAUUAUCCUUAUAAUUAGGGUACCAAAUACCCACUUUGCCAACAUAAUUCUUCAAAAACAAUUGAGUAAAGAUGUCCUCUGGUCUUUCUUAGGCAGUGAGUCAAUCAACUUUGAUUUUUGAUUGGGAACCUUACACAUACAAGGUGUUAAAAAAAAGUGCCAGUAAUUCAAAGGGAGUUUAGUAAGAACUACGAUAUGAGGAAAAUUAUUAAUGAGCAUGGCUCAGUAAAUAAACCAUUUCGAAGACUCGAGGAUUCAUCCUUUGUGUCAAUUUUUGUCAUUCGUCUUGGACGUAUUCUGUGUUUAUUCGUAAAUAUAUAUCAUUGUAUUGUAUCUUCGGCGAAAAAUAUUCAUUUCGAAGUCAAUUCAGAAAAGUUUACCCCUUUGGGUACUGUAUAUUUGCCACAUCAAACCACCGGUGUUGCCCAGGACACGAUAAUGUUAUAUUUUUGCGAAUAUACACAGAAGGCGUUCAAAAGAAUUACACAAAUGUAACAGAAAGGAAUAAUCCUCGAUGUCUUCGACUUAGUUUAUUUACCGAUUCGUGUUCAUAAAUGGUUUCCCUCAUAUAUUAGAUCUUACUGCAACCCCUCAGUUGCUGACAUUUUCGUAAACACCCUGUACAUUCAGGGGCCACAACUGUGUCAAGAAGCACAGACAAAUUAAUGAAAGUAAUGGUGAAAGAAAUUAUCCUUAUAAUUAGGGUACCAAAUACCCACUUUGCCAACAUAAUUCUUCAAAAACAAUUGAGUAAAGAUGUCCUCUGGUCUUUCUUAGGCAGUGAGUCAAUCAACUUUGAUUUUUGAUUGGGAACCUUACACAUACAAGGUGUUAAAAAAAAGUGCCAGUAAUUCAAAGGGAGUUUAGUAAGAACUACGAUAUGAGGAAAAUUAUUAAUGAGCAUGGCUCAGUAAAUAAACCAUUUCGAAGACUCGAGGAUUCAUCCUUUGUGUCAAUUUUUGUCAUUCGUCUUGGACGUAUUCUGUGUUUAUUCGUAAAUAUAUAUCAUUGUAUUGUAUCUUCGGCGAAAAAUCUUCAUUUCGAGGUCAAUUCAGAAAAGUUUACCCCUUUGGGUACUGUAUAUUUGCCACAUCAAACCACCGGUGUUGCCCAGGACACGAUAAUGUUAUAUUUUUGCGAAUAUACACAGAAGGCGUUCAAAAGAAUUACACAAAUGUAACAGAAAGGAAUAAUCCUCGAUGUCUUCGACUUAGUUUAUUUACCGAUUCGUGUUCAUAAAUGGUUUCCCUCAUAUAUUAGAUCUUACUGCAACCCCUCAGUUGCUGACAUUUUCGUAAACACCCUGUACAUUCAGGGGCCACAACUGUGUCAAGAAGCACAGACAAAUUAAUGAAAGUAAUGGUGAAAGAAAUUAUCCUUAUAAUUAGGGUACCAAAUACCCACUUUGCCAACAUAAUUCUUCAAAAACAAUUGAGUAAAGAUGUCCUCUGGUCUUUCUUAGGCAGUGAGUCAAUCAACUUUGAUUUUUGAUUGGGAACCUUACACAUACAAGGUGUUAAAAAAAGUGCCAGUAAUUCAAAGGGAGUUUAGUAAGAACUACGAUAUGAGGAAAAUUAUUAAUGAGCAUGGCUCAGUAAAUAAACCAUUUCGAAGACUCGAGGAUUCAUCCUUUGUGUCAAUUUUUGUCAUUCUUCUUGGACGUAUUCUGUGUUUAUUCGUAAAUAUAUAUCAUUGUAUUGUAUCUUCGGCGAAAAAUCUUCAUUUCGAAGUCAAUUCAGAAAAGUUUACCCCUUUGGGUACUGUAUAUUUGCCACAUCAAACCACCGGUGUUGCCCAGGACACGAUAAUGUUAUAUUUUUGCGAAUAUACACAGAAGGCGUUCAAAAGAAUUACACAAAUGUAACAGAAAGGAAUAAUCCUCGAUGUCUUCGACUUAGUUUAUUUACCGAUUCGUGUUCAUAAAUGGUUUCCCUCAUAUAUUAGAUCUUACUGCAACCCCUCAGUUGCUGACAUUUUCGUAAACACCCUGUACAUUCAGGGGCCACAACUGUGUCAAGAAGCACAGACAAAUUAAUGAAAGUAAUGGUGAAAGAAAUUAUCCUUAUAAUUAGGGUACCAAAUACCCACUUUGCCAACAUAAUUCUUCAAAAACAAUUGAGUAAAGAUGUCCUCUGGUCUUUCUUAGGCAGUGAGUCAAUCAACUUUGAUUUUUGAUUGGGAACCUUACACAUACAAGGUGUUAAAAAAAAGUGCCAGUAAUUCAAAGGGAGUUUAGUAAGAACUACGAUAUGAGGAAAAUUAUUAAUGAGCAUGGCUCAGUAAAUAAACCAUUUCGAAGACUCGAGGAUUCAUCCUUUGUGUCAAUUUUUGUCAUUCGUCUUGGACGUAUUCUGUGUUUAUUCGUAAAUAUAUAUCAUUGUAUUGUAUCUUCGGCGAAAAAUCUUCAUUUCGAAGUCAAUUCAGAAAAGUUUACCCCUUUGGGUACUGUAUAUUUGCCACAUCAAACCACCGGUGUUGCCCAGGACACGAUAAUGUUAUAUUUUUGCGAAUAUACACAGAAGGCGUUCAAAAGAAUUACACAAAUGUAACAGAAAGGAAUAAUCCUCGAUGUCUUCGACUUAGUUUAUUUACCGAUUCGUGUUCAUAAAUGGUUUCCCUCAUAUAUUAGAUCUUACUGCAACCCCUCAGUUGCUGACAUUUUCGUAAACACCCUGUACAUUCAGGGGCCACAACUGUGUCAAGAAGCACAGACAAAUUAAUGAAAGUAAUGGUGAAAGAAAUUAUCCUUAUAAUUAGGGUACCAAAUACCCACUUUGCCAACAUAAUUCUUCAAAAACAAUUGAGUAAAGAUGUCCUCUGGUCUUUCUUAGGCAGUGAGUCAAUCAACUUUGAUUUUUGAUUGGGAACCUUACACAUACAAGGUGUUAAAAAAAAGUGCCAGUAAUUCAAAGGGAGUUUAGUAAGAACUACGAUAUGAGGAAAAUUAUUAAUGAGCAUGGCUCAGUAAAUAAACCAUUUCGAAGACUCGAGGAUUCAUCCUUUGUGUCAAUUUUUGUCAUUCGUCUUGGACGUAUUCUGUGUUUAUUCGUAAAUAUAUAUCAUUGUAUUGUAUCUUCGGCGAAAAAUCUUCAUUUCGAGGUCAAUUCAGAAAAGUUUACCCCUUUGGGUACUGUAUAUUUGCCACAUCAAACCACCGGUGUUGCCCAGGACACGAUAAUGUUAUAUUUUUGCGAAUAUACACAGAAGGCGUUCAAAAGAAUUACACAAAUGUAACAGAAAGGAAUAAUCCUCGAUGUCUUCGACUUAGUUUAUUUACCGAUUCGUGUUCAUAAAUGGUUUCCCUCAUAUAUUAGAUCUUACUGCAACCCCUCAGUUGCUGACAUUUUCGUAAACACCCUGUACAUUCAGGGGCCACAACUGUGUCAAGAAGCACAGACAAAUUAAUGAAAGUAAUGGUGAAAGAAAUUAUCCUUAUAAUUAGGGUACCAAAUACCCACUUUGCCAACAUAAUUCUUCAAAAACAAUUGAGUAAAGAUGUCCUCUGGUCUUUCUUAGGCAGUGAGUCAAUCAACUUUGAUUUUUGAUUGGGAACCUUACACAUACAAGGUGUUAAAAAAAGUGCCAGUAAUUCAAAGGGAGUUUAGUAAGAACUACGAUAUGAGGAAAAUUAUUAAUGAGCAUGGCUCAGUAAAUAAACCAUUUCGAAGACUCGAGGAUUCAUCCUUUGUGUCAAUUUUUGUCAUUCUUCUUGAAUGUAUUCUGUGUUUGUUCGUAAAUAUAUAUCAUUGUGUUGUAUCUUCGGCGAAAAAUCUUCAUUUCGAGGCCAAUUAAGCAAAGAUUACCCCUUAGGGUACUAUAUAUUUGCCACAUCAAACAAUAAUCCUCGAUGUCUCCGACUUAGUUUAUUUACUGAUUCGUGUUCAUAAAUGGUUUCCCUCAUAUAUUAGAUCUUACUGCAACCCCUCAGUUGCUGACAUUUUCGUAAACACCCUGUACAUUCACGGGUCACAACGGUAUCAAGAAGCACAGACAAAUUAGUGAAGAAUAAAUAAUCUUCUAAUGCUUAUUCUUACUGUCAGAAACCUUCCCUUAAAAACAUUUAACUGGAGGACCUAGGAGGUCUCAGUACCUCAGAAAGGCCAGAGUCUGGAGUAAUUGUAUGUGACUGUUUGUUCAGUUUAUUAAUAUAUUGUGUAAUAAAUCAGUGUUAUAACUAUUAAGAACGAAUAAAGAACAGAAUAAAUUAAAA